CUGGCAAUUUUGUAAAGUGCCCGUAUAUUUUUAUUACGCGAUCUCAAAACCCAACUUCGCCAAGUUAAAAAUGAAAAAAUAAAAACCUUCGCGUGCGGGCGAGCGCUGCAAGCACGGGAGAGCAAAAUUUUUUUUUCUUUUUGGCAUGAGAAACAAAAACAGCCCACCUAACCUCUUUUUCAUCCCAUUCUUCACACUCUAAAAAAUCUUUCUCAAUCCCUUCCCUCAGAAUCUAAAAGCCCUGUUUCCCACUUUAUCAGCCCCUUUCUUCAUAAUCUAAAAGCCCUAAUUUCUUGCUUCCACCUCAAGCAGGGCGUCAUCCACCUCGGCAGCGGAGGCUUGUUAUCCAUCACGGCAGCAACAAUCACUGCACGGAGCUUGUCAAUCACCGCACGAAGUCGCCAGAUUUGCUAUCUCCUCGACCUCAAAUUUCUCGCUUCGUUCACCACAACGUGAGAGCGCGAUCCCUCCAACAAAUUUCAUAGCAGUGACCGUAUUCGUAAAAUUUGGAUAUUUGUGGAUAUUGGAUCAGACAAACUCGAUGGCCUUACUCAUUAUCCUUGUUGAUCGAAACCUACGGCCGCGAGAAAAGAUGAGAUAAAACCUGCAGCCACUUCGCCAAAUAGCAAAUUUUCUAGGUGUAACUUAUUCUAUUAUCGUGACACAAAAUCUAAAAGUAGCUGUCUAAACAUGGAUAAGAGUUGGAUUAAUAAGUCGAGGACGAGUAAUGAUUACCAGCAAGGAUUGGAUCUAUUUCUCAAAUUUGCAUUUGAAAAUGCAUCAAGAAAUGAGAUGAUUCUAUGCCCAUGUAAAAAAUGUACUAAUUGCUUCCGGAGGGAAUAUGAAGUUGUCUAUGAACAUUUGUUAUGUGAUGGAUUUAUGCAGAGCAAUACAAAAUGGAUUUUUCAUGGAGAAGGCAAUUUUGCUUCAAAACCUAUCCAUGAGGCUAAUUUGAAGACAAAGAAAUGCAAGACGAUGAAAUUGAUGAGAUGAUACACAAUGCGUUUUAUUUUCCAACUUCUGACAUGGAGUUGGGAAAUUCAGAAUUUGAUAAUACAAUGGAGGAGCCAAAUGAAGAGACAAAAAAAUUUUUUAGAUUGGUAAAAGAUGCUAAUCAAUAGUUAUAUCCAGGCUGUAAGAUGUUUUCGAAACUCUCUUUUAUUGUGCGUCUAUUGCAGAUUAAAUACCAAGGAGGUUGGAAUAA